GACGAACGCUGGCGGCGUGCUUAACACAUGCAAGUCGAACGGAAAGGCCCUGCUUUUGUGGGGUGCUCGAGUGGCGAACGGGUGAGUAACGCGUGAGUAACCUGCCCUUGACUUUGGGAUAACUUCAUGAAACUUGGGCUAAUACCGGAUAGGAGCUCCUGCUGCAUGGUGGGGGUUGGAAAGUUUCGGCGGUUGGGGAUGGACUCGCGGCUUAUCAGCUUGUUGGUGGGGUAGUGGCUUACCAAGGCUUUGACGGGUAGCCGGCCUGGGAGGGUGACCGGCCACAUUGGGACUGAGAUACGGCCCAGACUCGUACGGGAGGCAGCAGUGGGGAAUAUUGCACAAUGGGCGGAAGCCUGAUGCAGCAACGCCGCGUGCGGGAUGACGGCCUUCGGGUUGUAAACCGCUUUCGCCUGUGACGAAGCGUGAGUGACGGUAAUGGGUAAAGAAGCACCGGCUAACUACGUG
rnacentral:rRNA from 1 species